AGGUAGACUGCAGAAGAUCCGGACAAUUUUUCAUCCAAGAGUGAGCUAUAAGAAGUCACAAGAAAGGCCUCUCAGAAACAGAUGUAAGCAGUGAUAGCCGUUGACAUGCACUAGAGACACUAUGAACCUGAGGAAGGGCAAUGUUUGUAGCCAACAGAAUUUUUUCUGCAAAGCCAACUGGUCCAUUCCAAGACUACAUACGCUUGUGCUGCUAACCUGACACUCUUCUAAUCAAGACUAAGUUGUAAAAAUUCUAGAAGCCAGAAAAUAGUAAAAAUGAGUGCUAAGAGGAAAAAAAUGAUAAUAAAGAGUACAGGUAACUGUAGCACUAAAAAGAA